ACGGGUGAGUAAUGCCUAGGAAUCUGCCUGGUAGUGGGGGACAACGUCUCGAAAGGGACGCUAAUACCGCAUACGUCCUACGGGAGAAAGCAGGGGACCUUCGGGCCUUGCGCUAUCAGAUGAGCCUAGGUCGGAUUAGCUAGUUGGUGAGGUAAUGGCUCACCAAGGCGACGAUCCGUAACUGGUCUGAGAGGAUGAUCAGUCACACUGGAACUGAGACACGGUCCAGACUCCUACGGGAGGCAGCAGUGGGGAAUAUUGGACAAUGGGCGAAAGCCUGAUCCAGCCAUGCCGCGUGUGUGAAGAAGGUCUUCGGAUUGUAAAGCACUUUAAGUUGGGAGGAAGGGUUGUAGAUUAAUACUCUGCAAUUUUGACGUUACCGACAGAAUAAGCACCGGCUAACUCUGUGCCAGCAGCCGCGGUAAUACAGAGGGUGCAAGCGUUAAUCGGAAUUACUGGGCGUAAAGCGCGCGUAGGUGGUUUGUUAAGUUGGAUGUGAAAGCCCCGGGCUCAACCUGGGAACUGCAUUCAAAACUGACAAGCUAGAGUAUGGUAGAGGGUGGUGGAAUUUCCUGUGUAGCGGUG
rnacentral:rRNA from 22 species